rnacentral:rRNA from 1 species
CCUACGGGAGGCAGCAGUGGGGAAUAUUGCACAAUGGGGGAAACCCUGAUGCAGCGACGCCGCGUGAGUGAAGAAGUAAUUCGUUAUGUAAAGCUCUAUCAGCAGGGAAGAAAAUGACGGUACCUGAGUAAGAAGCCCAGGCUAACUACGUGCCAGCAGCCGCGGUAAUACGUAGGUGGCAAGCGUUAUCCGGAUUUACUGGGUGGAAAGGGAGCGUAGACGGCAGUGCAAGUCUGGAGUGAAAGGCGGGGGCUCAACCCCCGGACUGCUCUGGAAACUGUACGGCUGGAGUGCAGGAGAGGUAAGUGGAAUUCCUAGUGUAGCGGUGAAAUGCGUAGAUAUUAGGAGGAACACCAGUGGCGAAGGCGGCUUACUGGACUGUAACUGACGUUGAGGCUCGAAAGCGUGGGGAGCAAACAGGAUUAGAUACCCCGGUAGUC